rnacentral:lncRNA from 1 species
UAUAUGUAUGUAUGCAUGUAUGUAUGUAUGUAUGUAAAAAUGCCUGUAUGUUUCAGCGUUCACAACUUAGCUGGCUACAAUCAAAGUUGCAACACCAUUUUAUAUAGAGGGCCAAUUUUAAAUAAAAUUAAUUACAAAAGUAAAUAUAUAAUAUUUUUUCCUGGCGAUUACUCUAAUUUUUUUUGUAACUCCAUAUACACUCCUUUUAAAUUAGUGGCUACACAUGAUUGUAUUGAUUACUGUUACAGCUAUGAAGCGUUAUUUUGGAUAAUAUCAUCUAAAUAUAUGUAUGAUCAUGUAAUUCUUAUUAAACCUAGUGUGUUUGUCAAUCAUUUUGCCACAUAUGCAAAUUUUUUAAACUUAGAUAACACCGUAGCGGUUACUACUACCAUAGGUACUGCUCAUGCAAAUACUGCCUCCACGAGUGCUACCACAAGCACAAACGUAUUUAACAUAAACGUAUCUAACACACACGCACUAAACAAUGAUAACAAAAAUGUCAAAACUGAUUUUAUAAAAGAUAAGAUGAACCGUACUAUGAUGCCUCAAGUUGGAAAUAAACUAAAUACAACAAAUAAAAAAUUCGUUGAAGCAAAAAGUAUAAAACAAUUGCUUUGUCUGUUGUUUUCGUUAAAUAAAACAGUAUUAAAAAAUAUAGAGCAAGAUAGGGAGAAAGAUGUUUUAGAUUUAUGUAAUGACCAAAGAAAUGACCAAAGAAAUGACCAAAGAAAUGACCAAAGAAAUGACCAAAGAAAUGACAAAAGGAAUGACAAAAAAAACGACAAAGGUAAUGACAAAAACAGCAACAAUUUCAAUGCAAAAGAAAUAAUAAAAAAUAAACUAGUUUUGGUUGGGUUUAGUAAAGGGUGUAGCGUCAUAUUUGCAUUACUAAGAGAUGCGAAAGAAGGUUCUUUUUUUUUAUCAUUUGUAGAUUGUAUAUACUUUUUAGAUCCUAGCUUUAACAAAUAUGCUUAUAAUACUUAUAUAAAAGAGACUUCACUAAAAGUUUUAUCCAAAUGUAAUUUAAAUAUAUAUAUCCAUUCGACUCUCCGACAAAUAAUAGAUGAAUCAGGAACCUUUAUUCAUAACGAAUUAAUAAAUUUUAUUAACUCUUUUAAAAAAUAUAAUAUACCCAUUUUUUCUUUUAUACAUUAUACUAAUAUGCGCAAACAAAUUGACCAACUAAAUUUACACUUUGAAAUAAUAAUGGACUACUAUGGAAGUACAUCUUUAUGUUCUGCUAGUAAAAUGUCAGAGAGUGCUGGAGUGCCACCUGGUAAUGGUGGUUGUGAUGGUAGCAGAGGUGGUGGUUGUGUUGGUGGCAGAAGUGGUGGUUGUGUUGGUGGCAGAAAUGGUGGUUGUGUUGGUGGCAGAACUGGUGGAAGUGACGGAAGUAGUGACAGUAGUAGUGGUAGUGACAAAGUGUCGUCAGAUCAGCAUAAUUUACUAUCGAAACUAAACUCUUUAAACGAACUAGGGAUAGUUAUUUGUAAAAGUAAAAACAGUGUUAAAGAUUUUUUGUUUGAAAAUUGGAGGAAAAACAUGUUGUUAUUGUAACAGGGAUGGAGUGGGGUUGUCGGUUGUCAUAAUGUUCGCUCAUAUAUCAAGUCAGAAUGAAUCAUUUGCGAAACAUUGUAUUUUUAUAUAUAGUUUUAUAUAAAAACUUAUGAAUUCAUUAAUUUUUUUUUUUUUUUUUUUUUUUUUUUUUUCCAUCAAUUCUUUUUUUUCAUCAAUUCUUUUUUUUUAUCAAUUCUUUUUUUUUAUCAAUUCUUUUUUUUCAUCAACUCUUUUUUUCAUCAAUUCAUUUUUUAAAAAGUUCAUUCUUUUUUCUUUUUUUUUUA